rnacentral:rRNA from 1 species
AGGACGAACGCUGGCGGCGUGCUUAACACAUGCAAGUCGAGCGGAAAGGCCCUUCGGGGUACUCGAGCGGCGAACGGGUGGGUAACACGUGAGUAAUCUGCCCCUAGCUCUGGGAUAGCUCCGGGAAACCGGGAUUAAUACCGGAUACGACCACCUUAGACAUCUUUUGUGGUGGAAAGAAUUUCGGCUAGGGAUGAGCUCGCGGCCUAUCAGCUUGUUGGUGGGGUAACGGCCUACCAAGGCGACGACGGGUAGCCGGCCUGAGAGGGCGACCGGCCACACUGGGACUGAGACACGGCCCAGACUCCUACGGGAGGCAGCAGUGGGGAAUAUUGCGCAAUGGGCGAAAGCCUGACGCAGCGACGCCGCGUGGGGGAUGAAGGCCUUCGGGUUGUAAACCCCUUUCAGCAGGGACGAAGCGAAAGUGACGGUACCUGCAGAAGAAGCGCCGGCUAACUACGUGCCAGCAGCCGC